rnacentral:rRNA from 1 species
UACGUAGGGGGCGAGCGUUGUCCGGAAUUAUUGGGCGUAAAGAGCGUGUAGGCGGUUCGGUAAGUCUGUCGUGAAAUCCUGGGGCUCAACCCUGGGCGUGCGAUGGAUACUGCCGGGCUAGAGGGUGGUAGAGGCGAGUGGAAUUCCCGGUGUAGCGGUGAAAUGCGCAGAUAUCGGGAGGAACACCAGUAGCGAAGGCGGCUCGCUGGGCCACACCUGACGCUGAGGCACGAAAGCGUGGGUAGCAAACAGG